GUGCCCUCUUCAGAAUCACAUAUACUAAAAUUAGAAUGAGAAAGAGAAGAUUAGCAUGGCCCCUUCACAAGGAUGAUGCACAAAUUCAUGAAGCAUUCCAUAUUUUU
ensembl:snRNA U6 U6 spliceosomal RNA